rnacentral:rRNA from 1 species
UACGUAGGGGUGCAAGCGUUUGUCCGGAAUUAUUGGGCGUAAAGAGCUCGUAGGCGGUUUGUUGCGUCGGCUGUGAAAUCCCGAGGCUCAACCUCGGGUCUGCAGUCGAUACGAGCAAACUAGAGUGUUGCAGGGGAGACUGGAAUUCCUGGUGUAGCGGUGAAAUGCGCAGAUAUCAGGAGGAACACCGGUGGCGAAGGCGGCUAUCUGGACGGUUUCUGACGCUAAGACGCGAAAGCGUGGGGAGCAAACAGG